GUGCUUGCUUCAGCAGCACAUACACUAAAAAUUAGAACGAUAUAGAGGAGAUUAGCAUGGCCCCUGUGCAAGGAUGACACGUAAAUUUGUGAAGCGUUCCAUAAAAAA